GAUGAACGCUGGCGGCGUGCCUAAUACAUGCAAGUCGAGCGAACGGACGAGAAGCUUGCUUUUCUGAUGUUAGCGGCGGACGGGUGAGUAACACGUGGAUAACCUACCUAUAAGACUGGGAUAACUUCGGGAAACCGGAGCUAAUACCGGAUAAUAUUUUGAACCGCAUGGUUCAAAAGUGAAAGACGGUCUUGCUGUCACUUAUAGAUGGAUCCGCGCUGCAUUAGCUAGUUGGUAAGGUAACGGCUUACCAAGGCAACGAUGCAUAGCCGACCUGAGAGGGGGUUCGGCCACACUGGAACUGAGACACGGUCCAGACUCCUACGGGAGGCAGCAGUAGGGAAGCUUCCGCAAUGGGCGAAAGCCUGACGGAGCAACGGCGCGUGAGUGAUGAAGGUCUGCGGAUCGUAAAACUCUGUUAUUAGGGAAGAACAUAUGUGUAAGUAACUGUGCACAUCUUGACGGUACCUAAUCAGAAAGCCACGGCUAACUACGU
rnacentral:rRNA from 1 species